GCCUGGCUAGCUCAAUUGGUAGAGCAUGAGACUCUUAAUCUUAAGGUUGUGGGUUUGACCCCCACAUUGGGUG
rfam:Basidiobolus meristosporus CBS 931.73 K493scaffold_371, whole genome shotgun sequence.